rnacentral:rRNA from 1 species
UGGGGAAUAUUGCACAAUGGGCGCAAGCCUGAUGCAGCCAUGCCGCGUGUAUGAAGAAGGCCUUCGGGUUGUAAAGUACUUUCAGUCGGGAGGAAGGUGUCAAGGUUAAUAACCUUGGCAAUUGACGUUACCGACAGAAGAAGCACCGGCUAACUCCGUGCCAGCAGCCGCGGUAAUACGGAGGGUGCAAGCGUUAAUCGGAAUUACUGGGCGUAAAGCGCACGCAGGCGGUUGAUUGAGUCAGAUGUGAAAUCCCCGGGCUCAACCUGGGAACUGCAUCUGAUACUGGCAAGCUUGAGUCUCGUAGAGGGGGGUAGAAUUCCAGGUGUAGCGAUGAAAUGCGUAGAGAUCUGGAGGAAUACCGGUGGCGAAGGCGGCCCCCUGGACGAAGACUGACGCUCAGGUGCGAAAGCGUGGGGAGCAAACAGG